UGGUGGAAGCUCAUUGCAUAUUGUAGGUUGAACUCAUGCUUUUGUUUGUUAACUCUUGUUGCAUAUGUACACAUGUUGUGAACCCUCCUUGAAUAUGUAUGUGUGUUUUUGUGAAACUAUGUUCUAUAUGUAUGCGUGUGUGGACUUUGAAUUCAUCAUCAGUUUGUUAUUGUUGUGAACUUGUAAUAUAUUGGAUAUGUAUGCAUGACCAUUU
rnacentral:lncRNA from 1 species